UGGUGGAGUGAUUUGUCUGGUUAAUUCCGUUAACGAACGAGACCGCCGCCUGCUAAAUAGUUCUACCAAUGGUUUUUCAUUGGUAAGAGCUUCUUAGAGGGGCGUUCAUUCUACAAGAUGAAGGAAGAUGGCGGCAAUAACA
rnacentral:rRNA from 1 species